UUUUUUUUUUUUUUUUUGCAAAGCAUUAUUUAGCCAAAUGGAAAGGCUUCGUUAGUUCAAUCAUACAGGGGGAUUGUUUAUUAUAUAAAAUAGUGUAGUUAAUAAAACGCUCCACCUAUGAUCGAUAAAUUACGAGUUCGAAUCAUCAAAGGAUAAGUAAGGAACUAUCAUUAAAAAAAAGAGAAAAAAAUACAGGGGAUGGUUAGCAUUCCUAUUUUAAUUGGAUAAAACAAAAGAUGGUAAUCCAAAAUAUUAGAGGUGUUGACAUCAAAAAAUUUCUUGUUCAAAAAAAAAAAAAUCAAGAAUAUAUGAUUUGGAAUGAUGCGGCCGUCUAGCGUUUAGUUGGACUCAUAAAUGCUCAUUUCAUCAUUUUGGACUGAGACAAAACGAAAAGGGAAAUAAUAAUUGGAUAGGGGUUUGAACGUUGAAGGGAGAGCAUUCAAUUCAAGGCGACAAUAAUAGAGUUUGGGAAGUGCCGAAAUAUAAGCAGGAGCAUUUAUUGAACAUGAGAUUAAUUACGGGAGUUGAGACCAAACAAGUUCAUAAAAACUCAUGGGAGGGCAAGGCUUUUUCUAACCACCGAAUCUUCUUCUCCACCGCUGUCCCCCCCCCCCCCCCCCCCCCCCCCCCAAAAAAAAAAAAAAAAAAAGUGGUACAGGGGAAGAAUUUCACCUUUGCCUUCUGUAAGAAAUCAAGAAUCCUUGGUUAACCCUAAAAAGAAGGGAAAAAAAUAAAAAUACAUUUUUGUGGUUUUGCGGCCCCGGAACCGCUUAAAUUAAAUAAGGAAAUGAUGAUUAUAUUUAAGCCUUGGUCAAAUAUGAAAAGAAAUCAAGAAGUGAAAAUGACAUUUGAUGGAAAUUGUGGACGGGAGGUGAUAAAUAUAUAUGGAACAAAUGCAAGCAGAGUUAGGCGUAUUACCCACUAAUUCAACUUAUGUCUUUGUCUGUUUUCAGAGAUGAACAGCUUCUUGCAAGGGCCUUGUAUUUCCACAUGGAGAAUUGACCAAAGCAAAUGAAUUGCCGUCAUAUCUGGCAUCAUCCGUGAAGAAAUAAGAUCAAUUAAACAUGUAGUCAACAUUUCUAAUUAGUAAAUUAAAAUGCUGAAAAUUUCACAGGCUCCGUACAUAUAUAGGGAGAAAAAACUGCAAUUUCUUAUCAUAUAUGAGUACUUUUUUCUUGCAGUACUAUAGUCUACGGCUCUAUAUAUAUAUAUAUAUAUGUGUGUGUGAAGAUCAAAUCUUCAGCAGCAUGGUCUUGAAAGAUGAAUGUAGAACUUAUUAGUGAUGACCAAUUGGAUGCUUGGUAUUAGUGAUUUAUAAUGUCAAACAUUUUCAAAUUCGAUUAUUGACUUUAUAUAGCAAUCAGCAUCCAAAGUAUGAGUAGACUGCCAAUGAUUAACGAACUCCUCCGCAUGCUAGCUAGAUCCCAUAAAUCACCUCCGCAAAUUUUUGUACCCUAUGACCUUCUCUGCAUUCGUGUUGAUCGAUCUCCCACCCUCUCCCGUCUCAUUUCAGAGGCGAAAUUAAGCACUGGCCGGCGGUUUGAACAAGCUGGAAAUUCAAGAUCAUUUCUUGAAUGUAUGCGUACAGACACCUAUACAUAUAUAAUACAUGCACUAUUGCAAUUUUCGUAUGUGGAGCCUUUUCCAUUUUAUUAAAAUUAUAUAUAUAUAUAGAGGAUAUGGUAGGUGAAACAUCCCACACCUAGAAUUGAAGCAUGCAGAGAUAUCAGUACUCUUCAAAGGGUUCACUUCAUAAUCAAAAAAAGUGCAAGAAUUUUACAUUCUUGAUAUCUUGGGACGUGACAUGGAAACAGGAAAAAAAAAAAAAAAUGGGGCAUGAUUAGAGUUGAUGAUUAUAUCGGCUACUUGGCUGAAACAGUAGCUUUGUUGUGCCAUGUUAGGAGGACAUCUUUUAGCCUAGCCUAGCCAAAUUCAACACUAGUAUUAUGAGUAUUGCAUUAACCUUCUGACGACAGUCAAUCUGACUACCAUCAACUCUUCCAAAUUUAUCUGUGAUUGUUCCUAUUAAUUUAAUGAAUGCUUAAGAUGGAAUGGAAACAUUAUUAUUGUCAUUAAGGAGAAUGCUUAUGGCGGGUAUGACAAAAACCUAAAACACCUGGUACGUGGCUCUAUGCAAUACCCUAACAAUCCCCUUCUUGGAGGGACCGCACCAUGAAAAACUGGGACUCUCCGGCCCAUCAAGAAUGGGACACGUCUACACCAAGUGAUGUAACAUCAAUGCCGUACUUUUUGAGGUCUGAUUAAGAGUUAUUUAGACCAAAUUAGGAGCAUCAUUCUACUGCAUUGACGAACGCAGUUGUCACGUACUUAUCAGUGUGCUAAUAUUUGAUUAGUGGACAUCGUGUCAUAGCCUUUACUUUUUCUUUUCUAGCUUGAUUUCUUAAUUUCAGUAAAAGAAUCAAACUCUUAAUUUUAUCUUCUUUUUUUUUUUUGACCAAAUUGAUUUGGAAUUAAUUUAUAACCAAUAUAUACUUUUGAAUUGUUACUGUCAAGUUGCAGACACAAAAAUCCCGGAUGCACCGCACCAUACGUAGAAUGAAAGUUUGAUCCCAUAUACCUUGGAUAUUGAUUCCAUUAGUGAUCUUGAGAAAAUAAAGUCUGGAUCAGCGGAAUUGUGACAUUGAUCCUUUUUCUUUAAAAAAAAUGAAAGCGUAAUCCUAGGGUACAAAUCUACGGUUGUUAGGUCAAGUGAUAAAGAAGCUAAUGUCCCUUAAACAAGAUUUUGGUUCAAUUCUUAUGAACGGAGAAAAUAAAAUCGGGAGAAUCAGCCGUGAAAAGUGUUUAACAGUGCUUAAUUCUGAAUUAAUUAUUUAGGGUCCAAUACUCUAUAAAGUUUACACACAGACAAAAAAAAAAAAAAAAGGAGCCCUAAGGUACGAAAAGAGGCAAGAGUCGUUUAUCCUUUAUUAUUGAAACCUGGAAAAUUAGGAUGGAAAGAGAGCAUUUGCAAGAGAAAGUCAAACGCCUUCGCAGUUAACUGGUUACGUUUGGACGCGUAUACGGAUUCUACAUUUUAUUUCUUUUCCUUUUUCCUGUGCAAAAGUAAAUUCAUGUGAAGCUGAGUUUGCAGAAACAGUGAAAAUCAUGUGCAAAAGUGUCUGAUUAUCGUCCCACUUUAUUGCUUUGCUCAGAUGGUCAAAUAUUAUUUUAUUUGUCUACUUGCUGCAUAUGCUUUAGGUUCUUUUCUUAUGUACAACUUUGACCAAACCCCAUACAGCUUGCUUGCUUCCGUGCCCUUCCUCUUCUUUCUCUGAUUGAGAAAGCUGACAUGAAAUCUAGAAAAUUUUCGCUCCCUUCUAUGUUUUUUUUUUUCAUGGAAGAUUGACCUCAACGAAUCAAACUAUGGCAGCUAGCUCUAUCGCACAUAUUACAAUUUCAUAAACUUGGGUUAAUUAAUGUCUCCGUGCUUGCUGUCAUGACUAAGGCACUCACAGCAUAAAAAGAGUCGCAAAUGCUUACAACUUUUUCUAUAACAGAAGAAGAGACAACAAUUUGUCCAAAUCCGGGAUUUUCUUCCGCGAUGUUAUGCGUAAGUUUCCAAAUCGACCGGCCUACGCAUAGCAUAGAUAUUAGGUGGAAAUACAUCAUCGAAAAAUGCAAUGAGUUUCUGUUUUGAGCUGCUCAAUUGCUCCCAACAAACCCUCCUGAAUUCUAAAUCAAGCUCAUGUAAUUUUCUAUUUGUUGCCAUAUCUCCAGUUGUGGGCGAGACUUCAUGAUUUGUUUAGAACUAUUUUGAGGUGUAUGGAGUUUAAGGAUACUAUUUCAAGAAAUCCCGUGCAUAUUGUUUAAGCUAUAGGUGUGGAUGGCGUUUUCAUGCAUUUGACUUGGGUGGGAUUCAGUCACCAUUACAUGUGGAUGGAGUCUGUGUUAAUGGAGAAUACUCUAAUGGGAUGAUCAGAACGUGGUGACAUAUUACAAGGAAGAAGAAGAUUACCUGGCUGUAAUUGAAAUUCGAGACCAUUCCCUGAAAAGAUCAAAGAUUAAAUUAAAGGAGUAAUGGAGGGAUACGUGGGAGCUUCAAGCAAGAUGAUAAAUAAUUAAACGGGAGCAGAGCGUGUCAUCACAGGAUUAUCAUGGCAGAAUGCUUAAUCUACACCAUGAAUUUUAUAUAUAUAUAUAUAUAUAUAUAUAUAUAUAUAUAUAUAUAAAGAGCUGCUAAUGUUGAACAAGCUACGAUGUUAGGUUGAAUUUAACUGAAGCCAAAAGGAACCCCAAAUUUUAAACUUGUUGUGGUAAGUAAUAAUGGAGACUCUGAUGAGAAGGGACAAAUGGAAGAUUUCUUAUGGUAUCUAAUUGGCCACAAGACCAGUGAACUGUUCAAUUUUUAUAACACCCCAAGUAGAUUACAAAAUUAGAUUAAUUUUGCACUCUAGGAAGAGGAAAUUUUAGUUUAUGUAGUUUUAGUAUUUCAUUAUGAAAAGCCAAUUUUGAUACUUGCUGUUUUGUCAAUUGCAAUAUUGCAAACUUACCGUUUUUAUACGAGAGCCUCGAAGAUUAGGGGAGCAACAAUUUGUGUUUGAUGAACAAAGUAUGCGAGAAAUAUGCCAUCCAUAUAACAAAGACAAAGCCAGGGAAAAAGUCCGCAGAGGCUUUUGCAGUAAUAGAUUGUUUCAUCGGAAAUUGCAAGCAUCCUAAACUAAUUUGUUACCCUUGGAUGGAAUUGAAGCGCUUACAGAGAACGUCUUGCUCUCUCAUUAGACUUUCGACAGACAAUAAUUCAAACAAAGGACUUUUGACAUUAGAACACUAAACCAGACUAAUAAAUACUAGUUCUUCUGUUCACCAGGAAGUUUGUUAUUGACUUAAAAGCCAAUUCAUGGGGUUCAAUUUCAAGAACUUGGACGACUAAACGCACACAAAAAGAAAAAAGGGGACAAAAAGCCUGUACUUAGUACGAAAAGACGUACAGAUUACCAGAAAAGGCUCUCAUGUACGACAGGAGAAAACAUUGACAACGAGCCUACAAACUUGAAUGAGAUUAGCGUCAAGUAUUUGCCAAACUAAUGCAAACUUUUGGAGUUGAUAAUGUACUCAGAGCAGCCUAGCUGGUUAGCAAUAGCAACAAAUGCUGGCAAAUAAAUAUCACAAACAGCACGAAAACGAGUCUUCAAGAUAGUCUGGUGGAACGGACAUCUAAUCCUGGUAGCUUAAGACAAGUCGAAUAUUCUCAUUUAAUAAACCAUAUCAAUAUCCAGAGAGAGAGCUACCUCAAGUUCAAAAGUGUCUGAAAAUCAUACAAACAAAAAAUAUCUGAUGAAUAAUAUGAACGAGAGUAGCUUCAGAACCUCUUACAAAUAAUGAACCCUUACUACUUGCAACAACUUCCUCUGCGGUCUGCAAUUUUAUUGCAUGAUGAUUCAUAACAUCUGUUUCUGCACCAAU
rnacentral:lncRNA from 1 species